UACGGGGGGGGGCAAGCGUUGUUCGGAAUUACUGGGCGUAAAGGGCUCGUAGGCGGCCAACUAAGUCAGACGUGAAAUCCCUCGGCUUAACCGGGGAACUGCGUCUGAUACUGGAUGGCUUGAGUUUGGGAGAGGGAUGCGGAAUUCCAGGUGUAGCGGUGAAAUGCGUAGGAUAUCUGGAGGAACACCGGUGGCGAAGGCGGCAUCCU
rnacentral:rRNA from 1 species